rnacentral:pre_miRNA from 1 species
ACAACAUUCGGACCGUCGGUCAACCGAGCAAUAUCACCCGCUCGUUGGAAGAUCUUUCCUUUCGUCGU